GGCACUCCAUAAACUUCCUCGCUACCAGCGCCAUCUUCCAGCUGAAGGAAAACGCAUCGUUUUUCUCUCCAUUCUCUGUGUGGCUAAAUUAAAUUUUCAAGCUGUCGCAGCAAAAGCGCUCAUUGCAGUGGUCAAUUGGUCUGUCUUUGCGCUCUUUACUCAGUACUGGGUUGUGACCACAAAAGACUAGAGAGAAAUUGAAGACGAUAAUGAAGAAGCUGAGAUGGGCAAUGGACGGAGGCUUUUGGGAGCUGGACAUGUCCACACCCAUAACUCUGGAAGGAGAAGCUCGGGCGGUGCCUGGAGACCCGCUUCCACUCGGACUUUCGAGAGGCACAAAAUUGUCCAGGCCCAAGCAGAUCCAUUUCUUCCAACGUUUCAUGUCCUCACCCUUUAUCCCUUCCUAUUCCCCUCCCACGCCUCCACAUGGAGGACAUGGUUUCUCUCUCCAAAGCGUCCUCGCUAUUCCCACUUUCAAUCAAAAUUGGUUUGGCACGUUGCUUGGUCAAUUCAAUUUGCAAAAGUUUUUGUCCUCUAUUAAUGAGAGUGGUGCUUGGCACUCCUCAAACUCCUCCCGCCUCCAUACCAUUUGUAGACAUCUUCAUGAUAAAUCCCUAUACGCACUUGGUUUCUGUUCAGAGCUCUUAUUAACCCCUGAUGAUACGCUUCUCUUCAGCCUUGAAACUUACGGUCAUAAUAGGACAACCCGUAAGAAGGCAACCCUUCAUCACAAGGCAGGUGUUUUUUUACUUUUUUUUUUAUACUGGCACUCUUUUUUUUCUUGAAAAAUAUUAUUAUUGCUGUUCUUGUUUUUCCUAUGCCUGUAGUUCCCAAAUCACAAUUUAACGCUGGAGGCAGUUUCUCCUGGACUUUUUGUUGACAAGACUGGUAGCUAUUGGGAUGUACCUUUCUCCAUGGCCUUUGACCUCGCUUCUGUUGCUUCUGACUCUGGUGCCAGUUACCAUUUGUGUAUGCAUCAUAAUGCGGGAUCUCCAAAGCUGUUUGAAGGUGGUCAUGCCUUGGGAGUUCCUGCAGCACUGCUUCCUGGUUUCUCUGUGAAAAGUGCUUUUUCCUUUAAGAAAAAUAUAGAUAUUUGGAGAAGCAAAGCUCAGAAGUUGAAGAUGGUGCAACCAUUUGAUCUGUUUCUUUCAAAUCCCCACAUUUCUGCAUCAGGGAUCAUUGGUAAUGAUGCAAGCUCUUAACUUUGGAAAGAAUUUCUGUAUACUAGUUGUGGUCCACUCCAGAUGAGGGAGGAGGGCAUGAGGUUGUUGCUAUGAAAUUUAGAUGUUUGCUCAUUCAUUUAGUUCAAAAUUAUCAAAUUGUCUUCAAUGUUCAAUCUACCUUGCAAGUGACCCUCUGGUGGAGCACAAUAAAAUUUGAAACCCCAAAUAGCCUCAUUAGAAAUGUGAAAACUUUGGUGCUUUUGGGAACAUAUACAUGUACAGGUUCUGCACAUGUCUAUUAAUGAAGUCAAAUGUAGCUUCAAGCCUUGGACAUGCUACAAAAGUUGUAGCUGCUAUCCCCUGAUAGUUAUUUUGUUAUCUCAACAUUCUGAAGGUUAUUUAACUCCUAAUUCAUUCGAAAUAUUUAUCUUCAACCCUUGCUAAUACUUGAGCACAUGCAGGUGCUGCUAUGACAACCUGUCUUGGAGAUAACUCGGUUAGAUCGCAAGUGGAUGAUUUUCAGGGUUUUAAAGGCUUAUGUCUUUAUACACCUGCAGUAAGAUCUGGCUUGUUGGCUGAUAUAUUUUCAUCUGUUUCAGUGACGGCUCAGCAUGGAAACUUCCAAAGACUAUUUCUAGAUCUUACUCGAUUUCAUUUUCAUUUGGAUUUUCCUUCUGGGUCCAAGUUUGUUUCGGGUGCUGCUAAAUUAGCGCAAGAUUUUUUCAAUUCUAGACAGCCAUCCGUGGAAGCAGUGAGAGCAAUUUGCCCCAAUGCAACCAUUUCUCUUCAACA
rnacentral:misc_RNA from 1 species